ensembl:lncRNA
AAAAGUAUAUAACUCGUAAACUAGCAGUUUAGCUUAAGUUAGGGUGUAUUCACACCAGGAAAGUCCGCUAGAUCACUUGCUUUGGUUUGGACGCAAUACAGUACAACGUUGUUUUUUUGUUUGGUGCAGUUCGCUUUCACGCUGUCCUUUUUGCAAGUGAACCAAGAACUGUAAACAAAACCAUAAGUGUGCUUGAGGUCAUCCAUUCAUUGGUUCAUCCAUUUAUCCAUACGAGAGUAUGGUUAAAAAGUAUCCAAGAUGGCGGCGCGUCCACACGCAGCGGCUUCUCUCUGUCCCGACAGAACAGUGUUUUCGUGUUUUUUGUCUUGUGAGUCGCAGUGUUUUUGUACGUCGUCAUCGCGUCUACCUGUCUUUAAGCAGGAAGCAGAAGAGGGGUAAGCGCGGAGGUAUCCGGGCUAGGCUAACGGCUAACCCACACAAGCCAUCUAUCCCCACCAUUGUACUGGCUAACGUACGCUCUUAUAAUCUUAAUAAAUUGGACUUCAUCCGAUUAAUACAUUCAACUCAGAGGAAUGUAAGAGACUGUUGUGUUUUUAUGUUCAUGAAAACAUGGCUUAGCAACAGCAUUCCAGACUGCGCUAUUCAGCUCGACCAGCUGAUGUGCUAUCGAGCGGACAGAGCUCUCGUCGCAGGAGGAAAAACCUGCGGCGGCGGGCUUUGUGUUUACAUCGAUGCGUGGUGCCGCGAUGCUGUUGUGAUCUGCAAACACUGCUCACUCCUGGUGGAGAUUAUGAUUAUUAAGUGCCAGCCGUUCUAUCUGCCGGGGGGAAUAUACUGCCAUACUUCUCGUUUCGGUUUACAUUCCCCCGAACAACAACAACUGCAACAGGAACAAUGCACUAAAUGAACUGCACCAGUACAUCAGUGAGCAGCAGACAGCACACCCUGAUGCUUUUCUCAUCAUAGCUGGGGAUUUCAACCAUGCUGACUUAAAGAGUGUGUUUCCAAAAAUACACCAACAUAUUAACUUUCCAACAAGAGGUAAAAACAUUUUGGAUUGCGUUUACAUCACACAGAGAGGAGCUUACCACUCAGCACUCACACAUAUAGACAAAAAGGACUCAUACAUCAGAAUGCGGUUCAUAGACUUCAGUUCAGCAUUCAGCACAAUCAUCCCUCAACAGCUCAUUCACAAACUGUUCGAGCUGGGGCUCAACACUUCGCUGUGCAACUGACUGUUGGAUUUUCUGACUGGAAGACCUCAGGCAGUACGGGUCAGCAGCAACACAUCCAGCACCAUCACACUGAACACUGGGGCCCCCCAAGGAUGUGUGCUGAGCCCCCUCCUCUUCACUCUGCUGACCCACGACUGUACACCGUCACACAACUCCAACCUCUUCAUUAAGUUUGCGGAUGACACGACUGUGGUGGGUCUCAUUAGCAACAGAGAUGAGACAAACUACAGGAGCGAGGUGAGCCGCCUGGCCGGGUGGUGCAGUGACAACAAUCUCUCUCUGAACGUGAAGAAGAUGAAGAAGAUUGUUGUUGACUUCAGGAGAGCGCACACUCAGCAUGUUCCUCUGACCAUCAACGGUGCGACUGUGGAGAGAGUGAGCAGCAAGUUCCUGGGUGUGCACAUCACAGAGGACCUCUCCUGGACCGACAACACCGCAGCACUGGCCAAGAAAUCACAACAGCGUCUCUACUUCCUCCGCAAACUGAGGAGAGCCAGAGCCCCACCCCCAUUAUGUACACCUUCUACAGAGGCACCAUCGAGAGCAUUCUGACUAGCUGCAUCACUGGGUGGUAUGGCGCCUGCAACGCGUCCUGCCAGAAGACUCUGCAACGCAUAGUGAGAGCAGCUGAGAAGAUUAUUGGCGUCUCUCUCCCCUCCCUCCAGGAAAUUUACGGAAUCCGUCUCACUCGCAAAGCCCUCUGCAUCAAUGGUGAUCCCACCCACCCGUCACACAGCUUCUUCAGUCUGCUGCCAUCAGGGAGGAGACUGCGGAGUCUCCAGGCCAGGACCAGCAGACUGAAGGACAGCUUCAUCCAUCAGGCUGUCAGGAAGCUGAACUCGCUCCCGAACUUGCCCCCCGUCCCUCUUAUGCCCCAGGCACCACUGAACUAUGAACCCCCCCCCCAAGAUCCCACAUCCCCAGG